AUAGAAAUGUUCUGUGUUUCAGUAAGGCUAUCUGCUCUAGCCCAAAAAAAUCCACUUCUAUAAUUUUCCAGUGUGCUGAGCCUGGGAGGGUCUGAGUGUCCAAGGGGUGCUUUGGGGAUGAAAAGUGCAUGAUUAAUUCAGGCAGUGAUUGUUUCCUUCCUUUCAGAGGAAUGUAGCAUUGAGGUUCAGAAAGUGCCACUGAAACACAAGGUAAAAACCCACACGAAGAAGGAUCACGUAAAGGAAGAUGAGGAAAGCAGCCAGACCCACGAUAAUAGUAUUCCAAAUAACAUCCUGGAGGCAGUUUUACAAUUGUGAGCACUGCCACGGACAUAGAUGUAGCUGCAGGAAACAUGGAUUUGGGUUUGUUUUAAAUCCCAUGGAUUGGCGUCCAGGCUCUGCAACUAGCAAGUAUGAUCUCUUACUGAAUAGGAGCAUAGCCACAGGAGAGAAAAGAUUAAGGGAAUCAAAGGAAUACAUUUUUUCAUUUCACUCCUUUCUUAUUACAGUAGAUUAAAAGAAAAAAGUGAGUUUUGUUCAACAUUCAAUUUUGAGGACAAUUAAAUAAGCCAAAAACAUUGUUCAGAAUUAGAGCACCGAAUAAAGGAUUUCAAAAACACAGUGUGGGGUUCAUGGUGGGAUUUUUAUUUCCUUUUAAGAUGAGCCAUAUACAGCUGUAUGAGAUCUAUUGUCCUCUGUCCCACUGAAGAAAUAGUUUCUUUCUAAAGUGUCCAAUCUGGUAAGACACAUAGGUUCUUUAAAAGCUUAAAAAAAGAAGGAAAGCACUCAAACUCUCUUCUGGUUCAAAUGGCAAUUAUCUGAGAAGCAGCAAAGAAACAGGAAUACAUGAGUAAAUGAAAUAGCUUUUGAUGGCCUGGCUAUGAAUGACAGUAGGAUUUGUCCCCUUUGGUAAUGACAUGCAGCAGCAAGCAGUAUGCACCGGCAAGACAGAAGUCAGCCCUGACUGUCUGGUACAACAGCAGUGAUCUUUCACAGCAUAGAUGGUUAUUACAAGCCUGCUCAGGGGAAACCACUUUCUACUCUAAUGGAUGGAGAAAUGUUCCUUGAUACUGAGGCAAAAGGGGACAUAAUUUAAAGAAAACUAAACCUUUGAAAACUUCCUUGUAACUGUGGUUCUGGAAAGUCUCUUUUCCUUCUGUUCUGCAGGAACUGUCAAACACCAAGAAUUCCACCAUCAUUUUUGGGCCCCAUCAAGACAAAGGCUAACAAAAGAGGGAGGCUAAAAGACCAACUCUAGUUUACAAUUCCACCUUUCAAACUCAUCAUCAACUGAAGGAGGGUUUUUCAAAAUAAAAAAACCCCACAGACUAGGUAUGUAGAGUCUGAGAAAAAAAACCCCACUGAUCAUUAUAGCUUGUGUUCUGCUGUCAUUCAUUCUUCAGGGAAUCCUGUGCUCCAGGCAGAUCUGGCAAAACAGACAACCAAGAGAAGAACUUUGUGUGAUGGAGAGAACAUGGAAUGCUUCAGAUGAACCAGAUGUCAGGAGCAGCAGAAAACAAAUGAGGAGAAUGAAGGUUCGAAGAAUCAGAUUGCUAAAGUGUAAUGAAAACUGGAACCAAAAACUAGGCCUGGACAAAAGAGCACCAGAGUGGAAAAACACAAUGGAGGACCUUAGCGAAAAGGGGAAAUAAUAAAAUAAACUAGCUCAGUUCUUCAAUUUAAAUUUCAACUUUGUGCUUUCAGGAUAGGGGACCUGAAGAAAUUGAAGAACUGGCAUUAGUUUUCUUUGUAGCUGUGCAGCUGCUCACAGUUAUCUGCCUCUGUGUUCCUGGCAGGCAGCACUGCAGCACCAAUAGCCCGCAAAUUUCCCAGGAUGUGAGAAAAGGGUACCAAGAAUGAUUGAUGGAUCCAUCAUGAACUUGCACAUGCCAGCAGACACACGUGUCUCAUGUGGCCCCACAGGAAGGAUCCAGAUAGAGCACUGCUGCAUCCCACAGCUGCAGCCUGCAACUGCUCUGUGUCAAGUCACUGCUGAUGGGGGACAUAUAAUGUUCCCUCUGAAAGCCCUACUUGCUCAAGCAGGGCUUUCUGGUCUCUCUGGAGAGAUGCUGCUGAGCCCGUAUUUUAAUUGGUUUUCAAAUCCCAAGAUACAUCAGGCAAGACCUCACUCUGGUAUUUUGCACUACAUCCUUGCUUCUCCAGAGUACUGUCAUUUUUCAGAGCAAAUGCCAAUAAAAAGGGCAUGAUGUCAGGCAUUCCAUCUGCAGGAUGUGCCGCACUCCUCCAUUCCCAACCACAGACUGAUGGACGCUGCUGCUCCCUCACUCCCGGAGGAAGCAUUACAAAUCCUCUCAACACCCAUCCCCCCAGUUUCAGUAAAGAUCCACUGACACUUGGUGGAAAAAAAACAACAUUGUAUUUGAUUUACAAUUAACAGGAUUUACAAAUAAUGAAAAAGAAACAGAUUAGCCAUGAAAUUAGGAUGUCUUUGUUGAUGAAAGAAUAACUGGCAAAGCACCUUCCUGUAGAAGUCAUAUAGCUCAGUCCUAAACAGUAUAAAAUAACUUACAGCCCAGGCAGGUUCAGGAAUGAUUAUAGACAAAUGCAAGAAGUCGAGUACAAAAAAACCAAAAAAAA